GUGCCAGCAGCCGCGGUAAGACGAACCGUGCGACCGUUGUUCGGAAUCACUGGGCUUAAAGGGCGCGUAGGCGGGCCAUCAAGUCCGUGGUGAAAUCCCCCGGCUCAACCGGGGAAGUGCUGCGGAUACUGGUGGUCUCGAGUGGGGUAGGGGCAUGUGGAACUUCCGGUGGAGCGGUGAAAUGCGUAGAUAUCGGAAGGAACGCCGGUGGCGAAAGCGACGUGCUGGACCCCUUCUGACGCUGAGGCGCGAAAGCCAGGGGAGCAAACGGGAUUAGAUACCCCCGUAGUCC
rnacentral:rRNA from 1 species